rnacentral:rRNA from 4 species
GGGAUCCACCCGUUCCCAUCCCGAACACGGAAGUUAAGCCCUCCAGCGCCGAUGGUACUUGGGGUUCACCCCUGGGAGAGUAGGUCGUUGCCAGGC